rnacentral:rRNA from 1 species
UAGUAGGAUCCAGUUAGUACCGAUACAUGGAGUUGAAUGUUGGCCCAGAGGGCAUUCGCCGCCUCCAUUNCCAAUCUUACUUAACACACCCGUGCACCUAUGGCAAAGCAUCCCUCGCGGGUGCUUUUCCCUUUUUUAUAAUCGCAGCCUGUUCGAACGGAUGUUAUAAUAACAAGCUCUACGGAGCGGGAAAAGUAUAAUACAACUUUCGACAACGGAUCUCUUGGCUUUUGCAUCGAUGAAGAACGCCGCGAAAGUGCGAAACGUAAUGUGAAUUGCAGAAUUCAGUGAAUCAUCGAAUAUUUGAACGCAUCUUGCGCCCUUGGUAUUCCGAGGAGCAUGCCUGUUUGAGUGUCGUGGAACCAGUCGACCCCUUUGCAUCUUUGUUGAAGGGAGGUUCGGAUUUGGAUGUUGUUGUGGUCCGUCCGUCGCUCGUCUCCAAAUGCACUAGCUGGGCCCCUCCUUUGAAGUUGGGUUUGAUGACGGUGUGAUAAUUAAACGUGUUUUCAUUGACCGUGACGCCCGUCUGGCCGACUCGAGUGGUUUGGGUUGCUUACAAGUGUCUUCGGACAAUGUCCAUUUUUCAUGGCAUCUGAUCUCUGGUCAAGUUGGACAACCCCCCCGGACCAGUAUGACUAUCCGAUUAGCCAUAGUGAUUGGCC